GUUGAUAAAUAUAAAUAGAAGAGAAAAUAGAAGAAGAGAGCUGUGUUUUAAGAGUGAAAACUGACGGGAGAAGAGAAGAAAAAGGGGAGGAAGAAGAAGAGAAAAGAGGGAAAGAUAAGGAAAGGAGAAGAGAAUUGGAGGAAAUAAGUUUAAAGGUAAGAUUAUGUAUAAAUGUGUGUUCUUUAAGCCUUAAUUUCUGUUUUGAUAAGUGUUAGGGUUUUGAAUAUUAUGUUUUGAGUUUGAUUGAUGAAUUAAUUGGAAG
rnacentral:lncRNA from 1 species